GGGGUAUAGCUCAGCUGGGAGAGCGCUUGCAUGGCAUGCAAGAGGUCCGCGGGUUCGAGUCCCGUCCACUCCGCCA
rnacentral:tRNA from 1 species